AUGAAGAAAUUAUAUAUAUAUAUAUAUAUAUUUUUUUUUUUUGUACACAUAUACUGAAAAUUUAACUCAUGACUUUGCCAUGCUGUACCAUUUGAGCUACAAAAACACUGAAACCUGAAAGAGUCCCCAUAGGGUUAUAUCUGCCUUACCUGAGGGCAUUUUUUAAUAUAUGUGACCCUGGACCACAAAACCAGUCAUAAAUAGCACGGGUAUAUUAGUAGCAAUAGCCAACAAUACAUGAUUGUAUGGGUCAAAAUGAUCCGAUUUUUGUUUUAUGCCAAAAAUCAUUAGGACAUUAAGUAGCCUAAAUAUCAUGUUCCAAGAAAAUAUUUUGUAAAUUUCUUACCCUAAAUACACUGUUAGACAUUUCUGUAAUUUCCACAGUUAUUUACUGUAUAUCACCCAGUAUAAUACUGCAAAUUCCCUUUACAGUAAAUGACUGUAAUACCCUUUGCAUCAUGGGAAUUUUCUGUGACGUCAGACCCCACAUACAGAGACUUACUGUAUUUUUUUAAAUUGCUGUAUACUACUGUAACGGUCUCUUUGGCGCCAUUCUGUUGAGGUGGUUUUAUUUUCCUCAUUUCUUACAUUUGGAUUGACACAAUUUGCCCAACACCGUGUCUACAAAGCCACAACAGCUUGGGACUGACAAUACUGGACGUUACAUCGCUUGUAAUGAUUGGAAAAAUCCAUUUGUACUUAUAGUGUCAGAAACAGUGUGAGCGCUUGGAGUACAUCUGCAGUCAGAAAUAUACCGGGGCAUCACUUUACUGUCCGCAUCCACUGUAGAUAAUAUAUAUAUAAUGGGUUCUAUAUUGUUGUCUGUUGUGCCACUCGCGUCCGAGGGAGACACAGAAGCAGCGGGGCAGCGCCGCAGGUUUUUCCCGGGGAUGAACCCGUGAGAGUGGAAGAGCUCCGGAGAACAUCUAUGCUGUGUGUCGAUGCACCUUACGAGAGAAUAAGCCCAGCAAGCAAGGCAACUGCAAUGAAGCAUCAAGAAAGACGUGAGCAGGCCAGCCACCCUGAGACUGAUCAUUCAUGAGAAGACAUUUCUGUCACUAACAAAGUGGAUGGUGAGCAAAGGUGGUGGCCAGGUUUUGGAGCAGCACCUGGGUUUUGCAGAUGGCUAUGUAUUCUUUGGCUGUUUGUAUUUUUCCUCCAUUAUGUUUCUGUUCCCUAAAGAUUCUUUGUGAGGAUAAAUCCAGGAGGACACAACAUAAUGCACUGCGAAACGUCCUAAGACAGGAGAAAUGGUGAAGAUGCACUGUUCAAGCAUUGGAAGUCUGUAUUUUUAAGUGUUAUACAUGCAAUGUUUUAAAUAAAGAAUUUUAUAAUUUGUAAUUAUUGUGUCUGUUUUAAUUGA